CCCUUAGAUGUUCUGGGCUGCACGCGCGCUACACUGAUGCGCUCAACGAGUUUUAACCUUGCCUGGAAAGGUUGGGUAAUCUUUUUAAAACGCAUCGUGAUGGGGAUAGAUUAUUGCAAUUAUUAAUCUUCAACGAGGAAUUCCUAGUAAGCGCGAGUCAUCAGCUCGUGCUGAUUACGUCCCUGCCCUUUGUACACACCGCCCGUCGCUCCUACCGAUCGAGUGAUCCGGUGAAUAAUUCGGACUGCAGCAGUGUUCAGUUCCUGAACGUUGCAGCGGAAAGUUUAGUGAACCUUAUCACUUAGAGGAAGGAGAAGUCGUANCA
rnacentral:rRNA from 1 species